rnacentral:rRNA from 1 species
UACGGAGGGUGCAAGCGUUGUCCGGAAUCACUGGGCGUAAAGGGCGCGUAGGCGGCUCGGUAAGUAGGGGGUGAAAUCCUGCGGCUUAACCGCAGGGCUGCCUUCUAAACUGUCGAGCUUGAGCACGGUAGAGGCAGAUGGAAUUCCCGGUGUAGCGGUGGAAUGCGUAGAGAUCGGGAAGAACAUCAGUGGCGAAGGCGGUCUGCUGGGCCGUUGCUGACGCUGAGGCGCGACAGCGUGGGGGAGCAAACAGG